AACGAACGCUGGCGGCAUGCCUAACACAUGCCAGUCGAACGAGACCUUCGGGUCUAGUGGCGCACGGGUGCGUAACGCGUGGGAACCUGCCCUUAGGUUCGGAAUAACUCCCCGAAAGGGGUGCUAAUACCGGAUAAUGUCUUCGGACCAAAGAUUUAUCGCCUUUGGGUGGGCCCGCGUUGGAUUAGCUAGUUGGUAGGGUAAAAGCCUACCAAGGCGACGAUCCAUAGCUAGUCUGAGAGGAUGAUCAGCCACACUGGGACUGAGACACGGCCCAGACUCCUACGGGAGGCAGCAGUGGGGAAUAUUGGACAAUGGGCGAAAGCCUGAUCCAGCAAUGCCGCGUGAGUGAUGAAGGCCUUAGGGUUGUAAAGCUCUUUUACCCGGGAUGAUAAUGACAGUACCGGGAGAAUAAGCUCCGGCUAACUCCGUG
rnacentral:rRNA from 1 species